rnacentral:rRNA from 1 species
CGUGCUAAUCUGCGAUAAGCGCCGGUAAGGUGAUAUGAACCGUUAUAACCGGCGAUACCCGAAUGGGGAAACCCAGUGUGAUUCGUCACACUAUCAUUAACUGAAUCCAUAGGUUAAUGAGGCGAACCGGGGGAACUGAAACAUCUAAGUACCCCGAGGAAAAGAAAUCAACCGAGAUUCCCCCAGUAGCGGCGAGCGAACGGGGAGGAGCCCAGAGCCUGAAUCAGCAUGUGUGUUAGUGGAAGCGUCUGGAAAGGCGCGCGAUACAGGGUGACAGCCCCGUACACAAAAGCGCAUGUGCUGUGAGCUCGAUGAGUAGGGCGGGACACGUGGUAUCCUGUCUGAAUAUGGGGGGACCAUCCUCCAAGGCUAAAUACUCCUGACUGACCGAUAGUGAACCAGUACCGUGAGGGAAAGGCGAAAAGAACCCCGGCGAGGGGAGUGAAAAAGAACCUGAAACCGUGUACGUACAAGCAGUGGGAGCACCCUUCGGGGUGUGACUGCGUACCUUUUGUAUAAUGGGUCAGCGACUUAUAUUCUGUAGCAAGGUUAACCGUAUAGGGGAGCCGGAGGGAAACCGAGUCUUAAUUGGGCGUUAAGUUGCAGGGUAUAGACCCGAAACCCGGUGAUCUAGCCAUGGGCAGGUUGAAGGUUGGGUAACACUAACUGGAGGACCGAACCGACUAAUGUUGAAAAAUUAGCGGAUGACCUGUGGCUGGGGGUGAAAGGCCAAUCAAACCGGGAGAUAGCUGGUUCUCCCCGAAAGCUAUUUAGGUAGCGCCUCGUGAAUUCAUCUCCGGGGGUAGAGCACUGUUUCGGCUAGGGGGCCAUCCCGGCUUACCAACCCGAUGCAAACUGCGAAUACCGGAGAAUGUUAUCACGGGAGACACACGGCGGGUGCUAACGUCCGUCGUGAAGAGGGAAACAACCCAGACCGCCAGCUAAGGUCCCAAAGUCAUGGUUAAGUGGGAAACGAUGUGGGAAGGCCCAGACAGCCAGGAUGUUGGCUUAGAAGCAGCCAUCAUUUAAAGAAAGCGUAAUAGCUCACUGGUCGAGUCGGCCUGCGCGGAAGAUGUAACGGGGCUAAACCAUGCACCGAAGCUGCGGCAGCGAACGUAUCACCCAAGACAACUUUACGGAGUUGACGAUUGACGGAGCGAAGCGACGUCAAAGCGUUCAUUAAAGUCGAGUUGGCUUAGGGAUACGUUCGUUGGGUAGGGGAGCGUUCUGUAAGCCUGUGAAGGUGUGUCGUGAGGCAUGCUGGAGGUAUCAGAAGUGCGAAUGCUGACAUAAGUAACGAUAAAGCGGGUGAAAAGCCCGCUCGCCGGAAGACCAAGGGUUCCUGUCCAACGUUAAUCGGGGCAGGGUGAGUCGACCCCUAAGGCGAGGCCGAAAGGCGUAGUCGAUGGGAAACGGGUUAAUAUUCCCGUACUUGGUGUUACUGCGAAGGGGGGACGGAGAAGGCUAUGUUGGCCGGGCGACGGUUGUCCCGGUUUAAGCGUGUAGGUGUGUGUUCCAGGUAAAUCCGGUUCACUUUAACACUGAGGCGUGACGACGAGGCACUACGGUGCUGAAGCAACAAAUGCCCUGCUUCCAGGAAAAGCCUCUAAGCAUCAGGUAACACGAAAUCGUACCCCAAACCGACACAGGUGGUCAGGUAGAGAAUACCAAGGCGCUUGAGAGAACUCGGGUGAAGGAACUAGGCAAAAUGGUGCCGUAACUUCGGGAGAAGGCACGCUGACACGUAGGUGAAGUGAUUUACUCAUGGAGCUGAAGUCAGUCGAAGAUACCAGCUGGCUGCAACUGUUUAUUAAAAACACAGCACUGUGCAAACACGAAAGUGGACGUAUACGGUGUGACGCCUGCCCGGUGCCGGAAGGUUAAUUGAUGGGGUCAGCGCAAGCGAAGCUCCUGAUCGAAGCCCCGGUAAACGGCGGCCGUAACUAUAACGGUCCUAAGGUAGCGAAAUUCCUUGUCGGGUAAGUUCCGACCUGCACGAAUGGCGUAAUGAUGGCCAGGCUGUCUCCACCCGAGACUCAGUGAAAUUGAACUCGCUGUGAAGAUGCAGUGUACCCGCGGCAAGACGGAAAGACCCCGUGAACCUUUACUAUAGCUUGACACUGAACAUUGAGCCUUGAUGUGUAGGAUAGGUGGGAGGCUUUGAAGUGUGGACGCCAGUCUGCAUGGAGCCGACCUUGAAAUACCACCCUUUAAUGUUUGAUGUUCUAACGUGGACCCGUAAUCCGGGUUGCGGACAGUGUCUGGUGGGUAGUUUGACUGGGGCGGUCUCCUCCUAAAGAGUAACGGAGGAGCACGAAGGUUGGCUAAUCCUGGUCGGACAUCAGGAGGUUAGUGCAAUGGCAUAAGCCAGCUUGACUGCGAGCGUGACGGCGCGAGCAGGUGCGAAAGCAGGUCAUAGUGAUCCGGUGGUUCUGAAUGGAAGGGCCAUCGCUCAACGGAUAAAAGGUACUCCGGGGAUAACAGGCUGAUACCGCCCAAGAGUUCAUAUCGACGGCGGUGUUUGGCACCUCGAUGUCGGCUCAUCACAUCCUGGGGCUGAAGUAGGUCCCAAGGGUAUGGCUGUUCGCCAUUUAAAGUGGUACGCGAGCUGGGUUUAGAACGUCGUGAGACAGUUCGGUCCCUAUCUGCCGUGGGCGCUGGAGAACUGAGGGGGGCUGCUCCUAGUACGAGAGGACCGGAGUGGACGCAUCACUGGUGUUCGGGUUGUCAUGCCAAUGGCACUGCCCGGUAGCUAAAUGCGGAAGAGAUAAGUGCUGAAAGCAUCUAAGCACGAAACUUGCCCCGAGAUGAGUUCUCCCUGAGACUUAGAGUCUCCUGAAGGAACGUUGAAGACGACGACGUUGAUAGGCCGGGUGUGUAAGCGCAGCGAUGCGUUGAGCUAACCGGUACUAAUGAACCGUGAGGCUUAACCUU